GCCGCACUAGAGAAAUGGUUAACUCGUCAGCCUUCUAGAUGCAUAGCAAGCCGAAGAUUCUGGGUUCGAGUCCCAGGUGCGGUU